rnacentral:rRNA from 1 species
GACGAACGCUGGCGGCGUGCUUAACACAUGCAAGUCGAACGGGUCUGCCCUGUUUUUUGCGGGGUGGGUCAGUGGCGAACGGGUGAGUAACACGUGAGUAACCUGCCCCUCACUUCUGGAUAACCGCUUGAAAGGGUGGCUAAUACGGGGUGUUCUGGCUGUGCCGCAUGGUGUGGCUGGGAAAGAUUCACUUUUGUGGUGUUUUGGUGGGGGAUGGGCUCGCGGCCUAUCAGCUUGUUGGGGGGGUGAUGGCCUGCCAAGGCUUUGACGGGUAGCCGGCCUGGGAGGGUUGGCGGUCAACCUGGGGCUGGGGGCCGGGCCCGACUGCGGGGGGGGGCAGACGUGGGGGGUAUUGAACAGUGGGCAGGAGGCUGAAGCAGGGGCGGCGCGGGGGGGAUGGCGGCCUUCGGGUUGUGAACCUCUUUCGGCGGUGAAGAAGGUCCUGCUCUUUGUGGUGGGGUUGACGGUAGCCGGGUUAUGAAGCGCCGGCUAACUACGUG